rnacentral:lncRNA from 1 species
GAGCGCUGCGGCAGCCGCCGUCACUGGCGCGCUGCGUCCAUUGGGACCGGCGGAGCGCAGCGGAGCGGCGGGGUCCCGCGGCAAGGGCCGCCCGGGCGGCGCGGCGGCAUCGCACCGGCACCGCACCAGCCGCGGCUCUCCGCCCGCGCGGAUGUUCACCGGAGCUGCUGGGAACGGGAGAACUUCUGGGGGCAGGAACCGCUUUCCCGAAGGGGCUUUACGCCGCAGCGGGAAGGUUCUGCUCUGAUUCUGAACGCGAGCCGUUCCGAAAGCAGCGUGAAGUCGAGCGUUCGCUUCUCGAGUUGUAUUUACACUUUCCACCUGAUUGUUAGCGCUCGCUGCAGAGCGUUGACUCACGCGCAGAAACAAAAAAGCGAACGCGCUCAGCCCAGCGCCUCUCAAAAACGAGCGGAACAACAACGAGAAGGCGGCUCUCGCUCCGUGUCAGCUCACGGCUCGCACAGCCCGUCCCGCUGCCCGCAGGUCACCGCACGGCUCCGCGCGUCACGGCCUUCCCCGCCGCAUCCCGCGGGGCCGCGUUUCCAGGAAGCGUUACUCAGCGCCUCCGAGCGCUGCGAAGAACGCGGCGGCCGACGGCGGUGCGCGGGGCCGGCCCGGGCCGCUCCGAGCCCCGCACCCCGCCGCGCUCGGCCUGGAGCCGCGCCGCGGAGCGGCCGCCGGAGCGGAGCGGCGCGGGGCCCGCCGGGCGCGGCCGCCGGCUGCCCGCGGCCUACCGCCAGAGGUCCCUCCUUGGCCAGUUUUGCGGCGUGUUUUGCCGCACUUGAAACUUUCUGGCGGAGAAAACCCGGAGUGCUCAGGUCCGCGUUUCGCCCGGGCUCGGGCAGGAGCGCCGAGACAAAGCGGCCGCCCGCUCCGACGGCCGCGAGCCGGCAGCGCUCGAGCGGGGGAAGCGCGCUUCUCCCGCCGCCCCGCGCCGCUCUCCGCUGUUUUCUCUUCCCCCCCCUCCCCCCGGCCCGGAGCGACGGGAGCGCGCGGGAGGAGACGGACCCCCGGUCGGCGCGGGGGCGAGCGCGGUGCGCGCGAGGGUGGGAGAGGAACUGGGUGCCGAGGGUUCCUGAGGAAGUUGCACAACCAGAGAGGGACUCCGCUUGUUUACCGGGUCCUUCCCCCCCCACCACCACCACCCUCCCCCCCGAGACGGGGAUCCGGGAAAGGGCGGCUGGCUCCGAGUGGAAGGGGAAAAUUUUACCUUCUCCUCCCUCCUCCCCUCCCCCAGCGAGGAGGAGGAAGAGGAGGAGGAGGGGGGCGCGCUCUCUUUCCCGAGGGGGCUGCGGGAUUUGCUCCUCGGCCGCUCGCAGCCAAUCUCGACGCGAAGAUCGCCCGACGGAGAGGUGCCCCUUCCCGCGGAGGGCAGCGCCGCGUCGCCCCCCGCCCGCCCGCAGCCCGGCCCCGCGCUCCAACUUUUUCUCUCACGCUCUCGCGUGCGGCCGCUCCGACGAAGCGGCCACAAAAUGGGGGCGGCGGCGGCUCCCGACCCCCCGGCUCCCUCCAGCCUCGCGCUCCGGGCGGCCGCUCCCACCCAAAAUAAUAAUCACAAUAAUAAUAAUAAAAAAAAUCCCGCUCCCCCUCCCCCCGUCGCGAAAACGCCGCCUCACACGCACGUUAGCGAGAACAAGUGUGCCUAUAUCCUGUUGUUAA